UUUCCGUAGGUGAACCUGCGGAAGGAUCAUUAAAAAAAUCGACUGUGUAAGGUGCUGGCCCCGGCUGAGAUCGCCCUGAAUAAGGGAGGAGGUCUAGCUUAAUGGGAUGUUACUGGUAUCCUAACCGUCAGCCCUUGUUGAUUAGCAUCUUAUGCCUCGGCGCUUUGGCGCCAGCGAGCGGGUAAUCAUGAUUGCUUAUUUAAAAAUCUUUCGUGUAAGGUGCUGGCCCCGGCUGAGAUCGCCCUGAAUAAGGGAGGAGGUCUAGCUCAAAGGGAUGUUACUGGUAUCCUCACCGCUAUUAAACGCUUAUUUUCUCCAACAUUGUUGCGGUCUGAGUCAUGAUAAAAACUAGUUAAAACUUUCAACAACGGAUCUCUUGGUUCUGGCAUCGAUGAAGAACGCAGCGAAAUGCGAUAAGUAGUGUGAAUUGCAGAAUUCAGUGAAUCAUCGAAUCUUUGAACGCACAUUGCGCCCUCUGGUACCCCGGAGGGCAUGCCUGUCCGAGCGUCGUUUCACCCUCAAGCUAAGGCUUGGUGUUGGGCUAGCCGUUGUAAAUCCUGCGUCCAGCGGGCAUUGAACGUGCCCUAAAUACCUUGUGCGGCGCCGCGUCGUCCCGGAGCGUAGCAGUGCUUUUCGCUCAUCGGCUCGCGUGGUGCCCGCCGUGAACAACGCUUAUCACGAGUUGACCUCGGAUCAGGCAGGGAUACCCGCUGAACUUAA
rnacentral:sRNA from 1 species